rnacentral:rRNA from 1 species
CAGCAGCCGCGGUAAUACGUAGGUGGCAAGCGUUGUCCGGAAUUAUUGGCGUAAAGGGCUCGCAGGCGGUUUCUUAAGUCUGAUGUGAAAGCCCCCGGCUCAACCGGGGAGGGUCAUUGGAAACUGGGAAACUUGAGUGCAGAAGAGGAGAGUGGAGUUCCACGUGUAGCGGUGGAAUGCGUAGAGAUGUGGAGGAACACCAGUGGCGAAGGCGACUCUCUGGUCUGUAACUGACGCUGAGGAGCGAAAGCGUGGGGAGCGAACAGGAUUAGAUACCCCAGUAGUCCCUGUCUCUUAUACA